UUUGACGUUUUGCUUGUGAGCUGGUUGUGUGUGUGUGGGGGUGUUUGUUUUUGAGGGGGAGAAGUUUGGUGUUUUCAGUUUGGUUGUUGUUGGAGUAAGGAUUAAGGUUUGUUGGUAUCUGUACUUUAAACCAGUAGUGGCAUUCAUAGCAAACAAGAGAGUAAUGCAGAUAUAGGUAUAUUUCUCUAUUUUUUAGAGGUUUUGUUGUGAUUGUUGUUCCAGCCAGCUUUCUAGACCCAGUCAUGCUGUCUUGCUAAUUAUUUUGAGGUCAUUUCUGGGAAGUUGCUGGACACCCUCAGAGUGUGCUGAACCCUUGUGAGGCUAAAAACACGCUGGCCCCACACAGAAAAUCAACAGAAUAUAUCAGCUGUUUGGGGCAAGAAAUGCCAUUUUUUGACAUCAUGGCUCCAUGACAGGAAUUUCUGAAGGUCUGAGUACCCCUCACCAGGGAUGCUGGUUCUGCUGCCCAAGAACUGGGAGUGUUUAUGGGUGCAGGGAGCACUGAUAGGGUGGGACCAGACUGUGACCAUCCCAGUGUGGAGGAUUUCCAGCAGAGCUCUGCUGCUGGGAUGAGCAGUGUGACCCCCAGCAGCCAUCCUUGCACAGCUUUUUCACUCUGAGAUGUCCUGUGGAGAUGUGUUGGCACUGUGGCUGAAGAACUCACCAUUUGCCUUU